GGCUGUUCAGUGUAAGUACUAGGUGUUCAAAGAGCUGGGAAAUCUGCUCACUUUACCCAUCUGUCUUUUACUCUUCUGGUCAGUACUUCAAUAACAUGUUUUUUAGACAGUGUGUUGGGACCUCCAGAGGAUGAAAGACAUCCAGAAAAAAAGACAAUCUGAUCCUUCUGGUCUCCAUCCACUCUCUGCAGACUGUCUUCAUCAAGAAGCUGUCCACUUUCAAAGGCAGAACGUUGGGCAAAAUGGGCCAUGCUUCUCUGCUGGAACAGCAGAUCCAGUGCUCACAGUCAAGGCAAUUUACAGCACAGCUGUCCCCUUUUGGUCCUGUGGCAUGUUCCCUAUGUCAUCCUCUGAUAAGGUUUUGUGUUGAAAUCCAGCAGCACGGUUCCAUUGGAGUUUGAACCAUGAUCAUAGAAUCAUGGAAUUAUGAUAUUGAACAAGAACCUGUUUUACAGUACUUCUUAAAAGAGAAUCAAAUCAAAGGCUGUGGACACCACUAACUUGUGAUUACCUUCCUUGAAAACGCCCAUAUUGCACUGUAGUUAUAAAAAAAGUGUUACACAUUCUACCUGUUAUGAGUGGUCAUAACACUAUUGUUUUAGUUCAGUAAGCUUUAUAUUUAAAACAGUAUUGCCAUCUUGUGGUUCUGACAAGUUUCAUCAAUCUGUUUCUGCAGCCAUUUUUUUCUUUAUUGUGUUGCCAAGAAUUCCUGAAAUGCUAUGCUACAUAAAGUGGAACUGGUAUUGUACUCUUGCAAAAUGUGCAUAGAACAAUAAAAUAAAACAAAACCUGUAUCUGAACAUCAAAAAAUAUUUUAUCAAUCUUUCAACAAUAUGAUUUUUAUCAUCUUCCCCUGAAAGAAAGGGAUCACCCAGAGUCUAAAUAGAUCUGAACAGUCUUAAGAAUACUUUUAUUUCAGAGAUUUAAUAAUAAAGGCUCAGAAAAAUGUACUGAAUUCAAGGUAGAAGAAAUCCAAAAUGUUUUUUGUCUGUUUUCUCUGUUUACACUCUGCUAGUGUAAUGGGAUCUUGCUUUGACUCACCUGUGGACAAUGUUAAUAACAUACUAGCCUUAGAGGAUGUCCUCUCAGAAUGCAAGGUGUGCAGGCCAUUUGGCAAUGGAUAGGACUGCUCAGUACUUCAGAUAUUGAAUGCAACAAGCCUCCCAGUCCAGAAGACUGAAAAUACAAUAACUUUGUCAACUUCAGUGACAAACCAAGCCUUUUCACUGCACAAGUCAUUUGUCAGAUAACUAGAGAGCGCUGCCUCAUCAGGUGAGUUGUUGAGCACCUGAUGUUAAUCGGUCCCACUGAAAGAAAGAGGUCAUGACUUCUGGCACAGCCUUAGAGAUGGGCAGGUUUAUUUCUUUUAUUUCUUUCUAUGGAAAAUGCCAAGUUGCAUAUUUUCUGCUCAGUUGUUUUGUUUUGUUUUAUUUUAUUUUAUUUUAUUUUAUUUUAUUUUAUUUUAUUUUAUUUUAUUUUAUUUUAUUUUAAUUUUAUUUUAUUCAGAAAAUAACAAGUCUCAUACCAGACAAAUUCAUAUUCUUCUGGUGACCCCAAGAGAGUGACACCCAUCCAGCCUAGCACCAGGGCUUUCCACAUCUGAAGGACCUGUAAACAAGCAAUGGUUUCCAUGGGGCUUUUCUCUUUUCUACUCAUCCUGGAAGUGUUCUACUUGGUAUAAAAUCAGUUGCUGUCACUAUUCUGAGUCUGAGGUCCUGUAGAAAUCUGUACAUAUUAAAAUCUUAUUAACACUGAACACUGUAUUCAGUACAUGACCUCAUUAACUUCCUGUUUUUCUUUCGUGCUAAGCCCAUGAACAUGCCACAUGGUCAGGGAGGAAAUUUUAUUGACAAAGAGAAAGAACUUUUCUUGACAGACUAAAACUUCCUGAUGAAUUUUCUUCAUAUUAAAGCUUAUCAAGGCUAUAUAUAUCUGAAAAAUAUUUUGCUUUUGAUGAAUACCUUCUCAUGAAAAAAAGCCAUAACCUCAGAAACGAGACAAUCCUUGAUUUACAGUACCGCAUGUAAAGAGGUAAGUAUAUUUGACAUCUAUACAUUUCAUAAAAUUGUGCUCUAAAAAUCUGUUCUGAAUGUUUUUUAUUGCUAUUCAAAGACCCCGCACACUAAGAGUCUGUGUUGCGUGUUGCCCUAUAGUGGUGAGUAAGGGGUAGGUUCCCAGGCUGUUCUACUCCAUAGUCACUCUACUCUCACCAGGUUGAUUUUUUGUCAAGUUGUUCCAAGUUGAAGUAUUCUGUUGUAACUCUCCUUACGAUAAAUACAUAAAGUUAAGUUUCUGGAAGCAUCAUCUACAUUCUGAAAAGUCUAAAGUUGAGUAGCUUUCUAAUGGAAGUAAGCUAAACACAAACAGAUUCUGUAUUUACAAUUGAGCUUCAUGGCUGUUAUAUGCAUAUAUACUUUUUUAUAUAUAUAUAUAUGUACAUACACACAUGCUGCCAUCAAUUUUUUUGGUGCGAGCACUGCUAGAGAGGACCUGUGCUAAGUAGUUCCUAUGUUCAACUCCUAAGUUGAGCAACCUGUUUUGAAAAUAGUAUUUUUAUGGGUAAGAAAAUGUUUAUCUGUAAAAAUGAUGAAACUAUAAAGCAAAGUUAUGAAAAUAAAUUGAGAUUUUAAAAUUAUUUUAUCCUCUGAUAGAUCUGUAGCAAAAAAUAAGGGACACCAUUCUUUCACUGUAGUGAUACCAGAAAAUGAAGAGCUAUCAUGGUUCAGUUUUCAGAAUACACUACAUGUGACAGCACAUUUUUUACACCUAGAAUCCAGAUUAGGAGAUAAAAGAGGAAGAUUAAGUUUGUCUAUGCAUGAAUGUAGUGAACAUCUGCCAAAAUCUAUCUAGUUAUUUUCAUUCUCUUUUUCAAGAAAGCUGACCAUCUGCUCUGUCAUCAGCAAAGAUCUUGUUCUAAAACCUAAAUCAAAAGAUCACCCGUCUUGCACACCUUGUUUUCACUUAACAUAAACAAAGUUUUAAUGAUAUCCAUCUGUAAGUGAUGAUCUGUAGUGACCUGAAGCAGGUAUAUACUCACUGAGUCAAAAUUAGAAGCUGAAGACAGAAUGAUGAUUAAAAUGUGUAUACUCUAUUGGUAAAUAAAAGGCAUGCAAUUAGGCAUACUGCUUGAAACAGUUCUUCUGUAUAGUUAUAAUAUAGAAUCUUUAGAUGCUUAUAAAAGCCAGAGACACAGAAAUUAAAAUAUACAAGCUCUCCUCCAGGUGAUGCUAAAGCCUGCAAUGAACCUGUUGUGUCUGUAUUUUCCUCAUAUUUCUGGGUACGUAUGUAAUAACAUGGAAAGAUUCUAUCACUGCAUAAAUAUAAAAUGUAAUAAAAGAACAGAUUGAAAGUUUAGUGUUUGAUAUGAGAAACUGAGUUUCGUAAUGUUUUGUUUUACUACAGAAUAACAUAUAUUCUGCCAAGUUUUUUAACUUUUUGUUUGUUUGUUUCCCUGCCAAAAUGAGGGAAAAUAAGAGGUAGGUGUUAGAAGCUUUACAUGACUUCAAUGCUUAAAAAAAAAAAAAAAAAGAGGGGGAGAGAGAGAGAAGAGAAGAGGAUAUUAUUGUAUCACUGGAGUUAGUUAAUGGCCUUCUACAUUGCUUGCUUUGCCAUCGCUGGCCUUGCAGUUUUCUAUUGCAUUAGGUUUAUCAAGAGGGUGGAAGCUUCGCAGGACCACAAAGUCUUCAAUAAAG
ensembl:lncRNA